rnacentral:rRNA from 1 species
AACGCUAGCUACAGGCUUAACACAUGCAAGUCGAGGGGAAACGACAUCGAAAGCUUGCUUUUGAUGGGCGUCGACCGGCGCACGGGUGAGUAACGCGUAUCCAACCUGCCCACCACUUGGGGAUAACCUUGCGAAAGUAAGACUAAUACCCAAUGACGUCUCUAGAAGACAUCUGAAAGAGAUUAAAGAUUUAUCGGUGAUGGAUGGGGAUGCGUCUGAUUAGCUUGUUGGCGGGGUAACGGCCCACCAAGGCGACGAUCAGUAGGGGUUCUGAGAGGAAGGUCCCCCACAUUGGAACUGAGACACGGUCCAAACUCCUACGGGAGGCAGCAGUGAGGAAUAUUGGUCAAUGGGCGAGAGCCUGAACCAGCCAAGUAGCGUGCAGGAUGACGGCCCUAUGGGUUGUAAACUGCUUUUAUAAGGGAAUAAAGUGAGCCUCGUGAGGCUUUUUGCAUGUACCUUAUGAAUAAGGACCGGCUAAUUCCGUGCCAGCAGCCGCGGUAAUACGGAAGGUCCGGGCGUUAUCCGGAUUUAUUGGGUUUAAAGGGAGCGUAGGCCGGAGAUUAAGCGUGUUGUGAAAUGUAGGCGCUCAACGUCUGCACUGCAGCGCGAACUGGUUUCCUUGAGUACGCACAAAGUGGGCGGAAUUCGUGGUGUAGCGGUGAAAUGCUUAGAUAUCACGAAGAACUCCGAUUG